GUACUGGCUAGGCAGAGAAACCAUCUGCAUAAUAAAAGAUUAGGUGGGGGUAGCCAGAAAUUUAUACCCUAUGCAAAUGGCAUGCCUAAUCUUAACUAGUUUUUUUGUGCAUUAUGCAAAGGGCACAACUGGUCUAACCAAUUUUUUUGUGCUCUAUAUAAAUCAGACACCACCUUCUCAAGCUCAUCAAUAAAAACCUUCACCGCAGGACUGGCAACCUGUUUCUCUGGGACCCCUCUCUGCUGGAGAUAGCUCUUCUCUUUCUUUCACCUCUUAAACUUUCACUGCUGAUCUCACUCUCCGAUACAACGAUAUCCUCAUUAGAAAAAGACACACAGACAAAGGGAUGACCAUUUAAGACACAAUGAGAAGGCAACCCACUGCAAGCCAUGGAAGAAAGCAAACCUGCUGACACUUUGAUCUUGAGCUUGAAUCCUCCAGAAUGGCCAUUGGACCCAGCCUGGAAUUACACCACCGGCUUUGCUUGGUCUCCAGCCUGCAGACAAAUAGAUUGUGG
rnacentral:lncRNA from 1 species